AGUGAACGCUGGCGGUAGGCCUAACACAUGCCAGUCGAACGGCAGCACAGUAAGAGCUUGCUCUUACGGGUGGCGAGUGGCGGACGGGAGAGGAAUAUAUCGGAAUCUACUUUUUCGUGGGGGAUCACGUAGCGAAACUUACGCUAAUACCGCAUACGACCUACGGGUGAAAGCAGGGGAACUUCGGACCUUGCGCGAUUGAAUGAGCCGAUGUCGGAUUAGCUUGUUGGCGGGGGAAAGGCCCACUAGGGCGACGAUCCGUAGCUGGUCGGUGAGAAUGGUCGGCGACACUGGAAGUGGACCACGGUCAAGGGUCCUGAGGGAGGCAGCAGUGGGGAAUGGUGGACAGUGGGGGCAAGCAUGAUCCAGCGGUACCACGUGGGUGAAGAAGGCCUUCGGUUUGUAAAGCCCUUUUUUUGGGAAAGAAAAGCAUCAGGUUAAGACCACGCUGUUCUGACGGUACCCAAAAAAGAAGCACCGGCUAACUUCGUG
rnacentral:rRNA from 1 species